rnacentral:tRNA from 1 species
AAAAAUUUAGUUAAAAAAUAACAUUAGCUUGUCAAGCUAAAAUUAUUAGCUCCCGACCCUAGUAAUUUUUA